rnacentral:rRNA from 1 species
UACGGGGGGAGCAAGCGUUGUUCGGAUUUACUGGGCGUAAAGGGCGCGUAGGCGGCCUCCGCAAGUCAGUUGUGAAAUCUCCGAGCUUAACUCGGAAAGGUCAACUGAUACUGCGGGGCUAGAGUGCGGAAGGGGCAACUGGAAUUCUUGGUGUAGCGGUGAAAUGCGUAGAUAUCAAGAGGAACACCUGCGGCGAAGGCGGGUUGCUGGGCCGACGCUGACGCUGAGGCGCGAAAGCUAGGGGAGCGAACGGG